UGUUUUAUCUGGCAGGCUGGAGCCUCACGCAAACCCCAUCUCCACUCACCUCUCCCUUCCCUUUUCCCCUCCUUUUCUUCACUCCCACGAAAGGAAACGAGAUGGAGAAACCCCCACUGCCACCACCAUCCUCACCAUGGCUCCGCCUCCACAGACCAUCCCCCGCCGUUCCGAGGGCACCGGCGGAUGCGCCUCGUCCUCCUCUUCAACCUGGUUCAAGGAAUCGAGCCGGGGCUGGCUCAAUCAACGGCAAAAUCACCGUUCCCUUCUCCAACUCCGGCGAGUUCAUCGUUGAUUCCGGCGGCCGUGAAGCGUCCCCGGCCUCCUCGUCCGCGCCAUGAGCAUCAGGAAAUCCAUCUCCGGCGAGCUAUGGUUGUUCCCCGACGCCAAGGCUGCCACUUCUGGACUUCACAUGUUCUUCCGCACCAAACGCAACAUGCUCCUCGUCCCGGUUCUCCCUUCCUUGACAGAUCAGAGCUCGCCUGCGUUGUUUCCGGCCACCAUGGUCGCAGCUUCAAGUCCUGCACGUGGUACAUCAAGUAGUACUGCGACUGUUACUGUUCAACGAUCAGCAUCUAGCCCAGUGAUCCGGCGCCUGAUGGGCCUAGCCCAGAUCUUCUUCUUUGCUCCGCGCGCCCAGCACCUAUCCGCCGCCGCUCCUGCCUAGUAGCAGGCCAACACCAGAUCCAGCCCAGACAUCGCAGAUCCGGCGCCUGAUGGGCCUAGCCCAGAUCUUCUUCUUUGCUCCGCGCGCCCAGCACCUAUCCGCCGCCGCUCCUGCCUAGUAGCAGGCCAACACCAGAUCCAGCCCAGACAUCGCAGAUCCGGCGCCUGAUGGGCCUAGCCCAGAUCUUCUUCUUUGCUCCGCGCGCCCAGCACCUAUCCGCCGCUGCUCCUGCCUAGUAGCAGGCCAACACCAGAUCCAGCCCAGACAUCGCAGCAUUUGCUUCUUCCCGGAUAGGAUCACGAAGUGGUGUUGUGAGAUGCGACAAGUUCCCCGGAUGUUCCUCGGCAAGCUUUAACAGGCAAGCAUUUCCCUUAUACUCCUGUCCCUGCAGGAGUCGCUCACCCAUUUUAUUUUGCCUUCUCCCUCAUGCUAUCCUUAAGUUGCGUUCUUGUCACGUGUCCUUUCCACUUGUUACCUCAAGCAGCCCAUAUUGCCACCAUCACCUCCUACAUCUAUUGUUUGGUUAUCGGGUCUGCCUUGCGAGUCGUAGUGCAUGCUAGUGCUGUUUUAUCUCGUUACCGUUAUUGUUAUCUUAUUGGGUUAUACGUUGGGAAGAAUCAUGGUUACUUUAGUUGUUGAUAAUUGUUUAGCGGAGGCAUCGGUGGGUCAGCUGCUUGUUUUGUGACGGCUCACUUGUGUUUCCUAAAUAUCUUAGGACCCCGAGUUCUUGUUAUCUGUUCCGAGACUGAGCGCUCUAACCACACGUGGGUAUGCUUACCGGGUCUCCCCUCGACCACUGCCGGAACCUACAUCUUUGUCCGGUGGCCACAACUAGUUUGGAUGUUUGUUUUGUUUCUCCCGGGCGUGCAAGCUUGUUUCUUUGUGGUCAGAUGAUAUGAUGUUACUCUUGGGGAAGCCACGUUGCCUUGUAACCCCGUUGUCUCUUGCACGCUCGUAGGUGCGGUCCGCAUUGUUAAGAGGUCAUCCUCUAGUGGGCUCUGGUCCUCUUAGCCGUUCUCGCAACAGCUAGGUCCGUCUCGGAGAGUCGGCCGGACUCUGAUUCGGGUUUAACUUAGUUAGGUGGCUUCCUGGACAUUGUUGUAGUGAAGGAGAGUGCGUGUCGUGAUAUCCACCUGUCGUAAGUGGGUUGAUCAUGCGUGUGGGCACAUUUGGGCACCCCUGCAGGGUUACAAUCUUAUCGAUAAGCCGCGUCCGCGGUUAUGGACGACUUGGAGCUGUAUGACUCGACCAUAGACAACUUACACCUGUUGUUUCAAUCAUAAUUACUUGUGUAGUAAGUUAGCACAACUUCAAUAAUAAAUGGUUAAAACUUGACAACAGUGUGAGUGCCUUUGCUAGUACUUCUUUGCGAAGGGGGAACACAUCGGCUGUGUUAUGUUUGCAGAGUAUAGAACUGUUAGUUGUGCGCUCUCUCACCUUCUCUGAUAGACGACUGUUGUAGAGUGUCUCUAUAGGUUUUUAGUGCUUGCGCGCUGCCGCUUAACCCCACCAUAUUGUCCAUGACGUUCCUCUUGCGUCCUCUAAGUCCCCUGCGUGCCUCAAGUACAAAGGACGACUGGUUGACGAAUGCUUAUACGUCUUGAAGUCUUGUUAAGUACGAACCCGUACUUAUUGCUGCUUCUACGGGAUAUAACCGGGCAGGUAUGAAGAUAUGUUCGAUGAAGACGACGUUAGCAAGGUUACCCUUCCGGCUUGGCCUGGGCAGGGUUAUGGACGCCACUGGUUAUCUUCAGGACUCUUAGUCCAAAUUUGUAUCUUGUCCGUACUCGGAUGUAUUUGAUCUUCUGUAUGAUUUGGAUCUUUGUAUGUUGUACAUUUGUAUCUUGACUCGUUGGAGUCGUUGUUGUAAUAUAUGUAUCUUGUGGGCUCUAUUGUAAACCUGUUGUAAUGUUACUACUCGUGGUAAUUCCUCUGGCAUCA